rnacentral:rRNA from 1 species
UACGAAGGGUGCAAGCGUUACUCGGAAUUACUGGGCGUAAAGCGUGCGUAGGUGGUUCGUUAGGUCUGAUGUGGAAGCCCUGGGCUCAACCUGGGAAUGGCAUUGGAUACUGGCGACCUAGAGUGCGGUAGAGGGGUGUGGAAUUCCCGGUGUAGCAGUGAAAUGCGUAGAUAUCGGGAGGAACAUCUGUGGCGAAGGCGACACCCUGGACCAGCACUGACACUGAGGCACGAAAGCGUGGGGAGCAAACAGG